GUCAGGAGUGGCAGGUCAGCCUCUCCUGACUCACUGACCCAGUGACUAUGCCCAGCCACACCCCAAAGCUGGUGGAGAGGUCUCACCUGCCUGCAGCUAAGGGGAGGACGUCAUCUGGACUCUUGUCAAAGGGCUCUGGCUGCUGUAAGCGGGCAAGUGGAAGGGCAUGCCUGUCAGGCGAUGCUACCAAAGAGUCACCAAACUCUUAACUUGCCAUUGUCGCGCCCCGCAUGCUGGAUUUCAGCUCUAAUUGUAUACAGGAGCCGUACUGUCCAAUAUGUUGGCCACUGUCCCCACAUGGCGACUGAGCACUUGGAGUUUGGCCAGUGCAAAAUAAGCUGAGCUGAGAAAAGAAAACCUGAAUUUGUGGAGCUUUCCGAGGGGAAGGGCCUACAGAGAAGAAAGAUGUCCUCAGAUCCUCUGCAUCCAUUCCCCACGUCGGUGUACAGGGGGAGAUGCAGAAUGCAAAUUAUCCUGGAAGUGUAAUCGACUAAGGUCCGCUUGGUAGAAAUUAACUUGAAAUCCUGUUUCUUUACAAUAUUGGUUUCAACUAAUAAUUUCCUGGGUCAUAAAUGAACAUGGCCACUGAGACAAUGGA